rnacentral:rRNA from 1 species
UACGGGAGGCAGCAGUGGGGAAUAUUGCACAAUGGGCGCAAGCCUGAUGCAGCCAUGCCGCGUGUGUGAAGAAGGCCUUCGGGUUGUAAAGCACUUUCAGCGGGGAGGAAGGCGAUAAGGUUAAUAACCUUGGCGAUUGACGUUACCCGCAGAAGAAGCACCGGCUAACUCCGUGCCAGCAGCCGCGGUAAU